rnacentral:rRNA from 1 species
UUAGGAAUAUUGGUCAAUGGGCGCAAGCCUGAACCAGCCAAGUAGCGUGAAGGAUGACUGCCCUAUGGGUUGUAAACUUCUUUUAUACGGGAACAAACCCCGGUACGUGUACCGGAUUGCGUGUACCGUAUGAAUAAGCAUCGGCUAACUCCGUG